rnacentral:rRNA from 1 species
UACGUAGGGUGCGAGCGUUGUCCGGAAUUAUUGGGCGUAAAGAGCUUGUAGGCGGUCUGUCGCGUCUGCUGUGAAAAUCCGGGGCUCAACCCCGGACUUGCAGUGGGUACGGGCAGACUAGAGUGUGGUAGGGGAGACUGGAAUUCCUGGUGUAGCGGUGAAAUGCGCAGAUAUCAGGAGGAACACCAGUGGCGAAGGCGCCGCUCUGGGCCGAGACUGACGCUGAGGAGCGAAAGCGUUGGUAGCAAACAGG